rnacentral:rRNA from 1 species
GAUGAACGCUGGCGGCGUGCCUAAUACAUGCAAGUCGAGCGAACAGACGAGGAGCUUGCUCCUCUGACGUUAGCGGCGGACGGGUGAGUAACACGUGGAUAACCUACCUAUAAGACUGGGAUAACUUCGGGAAACCGGAGCUAAUACCGGAUAAUAUAUUGAACCGCAUGGUUCAAUAGUUAAAGACGGUUUUGCUGUCACUUAUAGCUGGCUCCGCGCCGCAUUAGCUAGUUGGUAAGGUAACGGCUUACCAAGGCAACGAUGCGUAGCCGACCUGAGAGGGUGAUCGGCCACACGGGAACUGAGACACGGUCCAGACUCCUACGGGAGGCAGCAGUAGGGAAUCUUCCGCAAUGGGCGAAAGCUUGACGGAGCAACGCCGCGUGAGUGAUGAAGGUCUUCGGAUCGUAAAACUCUGUUAUUAGGGAAGAACAAAUGUGUAAGUAACUAUGCACGUCUUGACGGUACCUAAUCAGAAAGCCACGGCUAACUACGUG